rnacentral:rRNA from 1 species
GAUGAACGCUGGCGGCGUGCUUAACACAUGCAAGUCGAACGGUGAACGAGGGAGCUUGCUCCCUCCGGAUCAGUGGCGAACGGGUGAGUAACACGUGAGCAAUCUGCCCCGAACUCUGGGAUAAGCGCUGGAAACGGCGUCUAAUACCGAAUACGACGCGCGAAGGCAUCUUCUGCGCGUGGAAAGAAUUUCGGUUCGGGAUGAGCUCGCGGCCUAUCAGCUAGUUGGUGAGGUAACGGCUCACCAAGGCGACGACGGGUAGCCGGCCUGAGAGGGUGACCGGCCACACUGGGACUGAGACACGGCCCAGACUCCUACGGGAGGCAGCAGUGGGGAAUAUUGCACAAUGGCGCAAGCCUGAUGCAGCAACGCCGCGUGAGGGACGACGGCCUUCGGGUUGUAAACCUCUUUUAGUAGGGAAGAAGCGAAAGUGACGGUACCUGCAGAAAAAGCACCGGCUAACUACGUGCCAGCCGCCGCAGUAACAC